AUGAAGGAUAAACAAUUUGAUAUUGAUGCCAAUGAUCUAUUUGUUGAGUUGAAGUUUCUUUAAAAUUUCAUGCCAAAAGAAAAUAUCGGACCUAUUAAAAUUCUGAUUUUUUUUAAAGCGACAUGAUUGUUUUCCCAAUGCAAGUAUUGCAUAUAGAGUUUUGUUGACCAUUUCUGA
rnacentral:rRNA from 1 species